UUGCCAAGUCUAAUGGUUUCCUUGCAGUCGCUUACAUGUGUUGAUCGGCAUUUACAAGAAAGUAUAUGUUGAUCAUGCCAUCUGCCUGACUAUUCCUUGUUUCAGGGGAAGACGCCUCAUGUGUCUAAUCCUCUAGAUAUAAUGCUUACUUGAAACUAAGUUUUUUGAGGUAACUCUGAGCAAAACAUCAUAUGGGACACCAUAAUUGAAGAAGCUCCAACUGUAAUUCAUAUUCAUAUUCAGGUUAUUGUUUUUAUUCUUCAGCCAGAUAUUGUUAGUGACUUCAGAUCUCGCUUGGGUCAAGCUCCAACUGUAAUCUUUGUAAAUAAGGCUGUGUAAUUUGUGGAAAACUCAUGGGCUGUGUGGACUUAUCUCCCAUUUGUUAUCCAAUACAGGGCAUAAACCUUUUUGUAAAUGUCAUUUCAUGUCUUCUCGAAGUCUGGAUCAUAAAUGCUUUUAUUUUUAUCUUAAAGGACAGUAAGAUGUGAACUAUGAUUUGACUAACUUGGCAGCUUGUGUUUGGUUACUUAAGGCGGUUGGCUAUCACAAUGCUGUCACAGUUGAGUUCAUCGUCGAUACUCUGUCCAUGAAAUUUAUUUUUUGGAGAUGCACAUCUUUAGGUUGAACAUCCUGUAACUGAGGUGAUUGUUGGUCAAGUGCAGAUUCCUCUAUCAGGUCAAUUGGUGCUUGUGGUAUAUUAUUUCAAGUCCAGGUUUUCAUACAACUAGGGGUGGCAGUUUGCCAGUUUGCAAAAGAAUUAGUUGAUUUUGGUUGUUUUUGUAUCAAAUAGAUCAGGGGAAAAAAAAACAACAGCUAUUAGGCGAAAGGAUCAAACAGUUCGAGUUGAAACUGAAGCUGAACAAGGGGACACUGUAAGCAUGCAUCAUGACCCUAUGAUUGCUAAGCUUGUACUGUCGGGAGAAAAUUCAUAAAUUCUUUAUCCAAGUUUCAGGUGAACAGGUUAACCAAAGACGUAUUGGAUGAUGA